UAGGGAAUCUUCCACAAUGGGCGCAAGCCUGAUGGAGCGACGCCGCGUGAGUGAGGAAGGUCUUCGGAUUGUAAAGCUCUGUUGCCAGGGAAGAAUAAGCGGAUGAGUAACUGCAUCCGUGAUGACGGUACCUGAGAAGAAAGCCCCGGCUAACUACGUGCCAGCAGCCGCGGUAAUACGUAGGGGGCGAGCGUUGUCCGGAAUUAUUGGGCGUAAAGAGCUCGUAGGCGGCGUGUCGCGUCGAUUGUGAAAGCCCGGGGCUUAACUCCGGGUCUGCAGUCGAUACGGGCAUGCUCGAGUUCGGCAGGGGAGACUGGAAUUCCUGGUGUAGCGGUGAAAUGCGCAGAUAUCAGGAGGAACACCGGUGGCGAAGGCGGGUCUCUGGGCCGAUACUGACGCUGAGGAGCGAAAGCGUGGGGAGCGAACAGGAUUAGAUACC
rnacentral:rRNA from 1 species